rnacentral:tRNA from 1 species
GUGGAUAUAGCUCAGUGGUAGAGUGUGUGCUUAGCAUGCACGAAAUCCUGGGUUCAAUCCCAGGUACCUCCA